rnacentral:misc_RNA from 1 species
GAUGAAGAACGUAGUGAAAUGCGAUAAGUAAUGUGAAUUGCAGAAUUCAGUGAAUCAUCGAAUCUUUGAACGCACAUUGCGCCCGCCAGUAUUCUGGCGGGCAUGCCUGUUCGAGCGUCAUUUCAACCAUCAAGCCCCAGGCUUGUGUUGGGGACCUGCGGCUGCCGCAGGCCCUGAAAACCAGUGGCGGGCUCGCUGUCACACCGGGCGUAGUAGAUUUUAUCUCGCUCAGGGCGUGCUGCGGGUUCCGGCCGUUAAAAAGCCUUUUUUACCCAAGGUUGACCUCGGAUCAGGUAGGAAGACCCGCUGAACUUAAGCAUAUCAAUAAGCGGAGGG